rnacentral:rRNA from 1 species
GUAGGUGGCAAGCGUUGUCCGGAAUUAUUGGGCGUAAAGCGCGCGCAGGCGGUUCUUUAAGUCUGAUGUGAAAGCCCACGGCUCAACCGUGGAGGGUCAUUGGAAACUGGAGAACUUGAGUACAGAAGAGGAAAGCGGAAUUCCACGUGUAGCGGUGAAAUGCGUAGAGAUGUGGAGGAACACCAGUGGCGAAGGCGGCUUUCUGGUCUGUGACUGACGCUGAGGCGCGAAAGCGUGGGGGAGCAAACAGGAUUAGAUACCCUGGUAGUCCACGCCGUAAACGAUGAGUGCUAAGUGUUAGGGGGUUUCCGCCCCUUAGUGCUGCAGCUAACGCAUUAAGCACUCCCGCCCUGGGGUAGUACCGGCCGCGAAGGCUG